UUUAUUGCUCCCCAGAUGAGAGUACAGCCUGUUUCUUAUGUGUUCUAAAGAUGAUUUCCCUAUCAGCUUUUUGGUCCGUUAACCAAAAAAAAAAAAAAAAAGAAAAGAAAAAAAAGUUACACUUUUCUGAAUUCUGCAAGAUUGACAGAAGGGGAAUUUUUGAGUCUACUUUGUUACUUGGUAGGUGUCAUAUUUGCUCUUUAUUUGACAGUUAUCUAGACUUAAAAAAAUGAAGCAGGUUUUUUUUUUAGUGCCAGUUUAUAUUGUUUACUAAGCAAGUGCUACCUCUGCCAUCCAGCAGGGUGAAAUAUUGGCGAGAAUAAACUGUCUUCAUCAUUUACUGUGUUUUUGUUUUCUUUUGCAAAAUAGGCGAGUGUUGUGUAUAAAGGAAGUUGAAAUCCUGGGCCUUAUGUGUGUAGACUGGCAAUGUCCAUUUGAAGAUUUUGUAUUUCCUCCUAGUGUCAGUGAAAAUGUGCUAAAAAUUUCAGUUAAGGAACAGGGUCUGUUCCACAAAAAAGACAGUGCCAAUCAAGGCUGUGUUCGAAAAGUUUACCUGAAGGACACUGCCACAGCAGAGAGAGCAUGUAAUGCCAUUGAGGAUGCACAGUCAACGAGACAGCAGCAAAAAUUGAUGAAGCAGUCAUCAGUGAGACUUCUCAGACCCCAAUUGCCAUCUUAAUCACAGACCCCAGGGGCUCCAACAGGGAGAAAAAACAAUCACUG
rnacentral:sRNA from 1 species